rnacentral:rRNA from 1 species
GACGACCGCUGGCGGCGUGCCUAACACAUGCAAGUCGCGCGAGCGGCGGACGGGUGAGUAAUGUCUGGGAAACUGCCUGAUGGAGGGGGAUAACUCCUGGAAACGGUAGCUAAUACCGCAUACCAUCAGAUUUGCCCAGAUGGGAUUAGCUAGUAGGUGGGGUAACGGCUCACCUAGGCGACGAUCCCUAGCUGGUCUGAGAGGAUGACCAGCCACACUGGAACGGAGACACGGUCCAGACUCCUACGGGAGGCAGCAGUGGGGAAGAUUGCACAAUGGGCGCAAGCCUGAUGCAGCCAUGCCUCGUGUGUGAAGAAGGCCUGCGGGUGGUAAAGCACUUUCAGCGGGGAGGCGUUACCCGCAGAAGAAGCACCGGCUAACUCCGUGCCAGCAGCCGCGGUAAUAC